rnacentral:rRNA from 1 species
AUUGAACGCUGGCGGCAUGCUUUACACAUGCAAGUCGAACGGCAGCGCGGGCUUCGGCCUGGCGGCGAGUGGCGAACGGGUGAGUAAUACAUCGGAACGUGCCCAGUAGUGGGGGAUAGCUCGGCGAAAGCCGGAUUAAUACCGCAUACGACCUGCGGGUGAAAGCGGGGGAUCUUCGGACCUCGCGCUAUUGGAGCGGCCGAUGGCAGAUUAGCUAGUUGGUGGGGUAAAGGCCUACCAAGGCGACGAUCUGUAGCUGGUCUGAGAGGACGACCAGCCACACUGGGACUGAGACACGGCCCAGACUCCUACGGGAGGCAGCAGUGGGGAAUUUUGGACAAUGGGCGAAAGCCUGAUCCAGCAAUGCCGCGUGUGUGAUGAAGGCCUUCGGGUUGUAAAGCACUUUUGGCGGGAACGAAAAGGACUGUGCCAAUACCACGGUUCGAUGACGGUACCCGCAGAAUAAGCACCGGCUAACUACGUG